GACCGGAUGCGCUGGAUGGGGAUUCCGA
rnacentral:sRNA from 1 species